AGCGAACGCUGGCGGUAGGCCUAACACAUGCAAGUCGAACGGCAGCACAGUAAGAGCUUGCUCUUACGGGUGGCGAGUGGCGGACGGGUGAGGAAUACAUCGGAAUCUACUUUUUCGUGGGGGAUAACGUAGGGAAACUUACGCUAAUACCGCAUACUACCUACGGGUGAAAGCAGGGAUUCUUCGGCCUUUUGGGGCUGUAACGGGCCGAGUUCGGUUUUGUUAGUUGGCGGGUUAAAGGCCCACCAAGGGGAGUAUCCGUACCUGGUCUGAGAGGAGGAUGAGCCACACUGGAACUGAGACACGGUCCAGACUCCUACGGGAGGCAGCGGUGGGGAAUAUUGGACAAUGGGCGCAAGCCUGAUCCAGCCAUACCGCGUGGGUGAAGAAGGCCUUGGGGUUGUAAAGCCCUUUUGUUGGGAAAGAAAAGCAGCAGGUUAAUACCCCGCUGUUCUGACGGUAGCCAAAGAAUAAGCACCGGCUAACUUCGUG
rnacentral:rRNA from 1 species